GAUGAACGCUGGCGGCGUGCCUAAUACAUGCAAGUCGAGCGAACGGACGAGAAGCUUGCUUCUCUGAUGUUAGCGGCGGACGGGUGAGUAACACGUGGAUAACCUACCUAUAAGACUGGGAUAACUUCGGGAAACUGUAGCUAAUACCGGAUAAUAUUUUGAACCGCAUGGUUCAAAAGUGAAAGACGGUCUUGCUGUCACUUAUAGAUGGAUCCGCGCUGCAUUAGCUAGUUGGUAAGGUAACGGCUUACCAAGGCAACGAUGCAUAGCCGACCUGAGAGGGUGAUAGGCCACACUAGAGCUGAGACGCGGUCCAGGGUCCUACGGGAGGCAGCAGUAGGGUAUCUUCCGCAAUGGGCGAAAGCCUGACGGAGCAACGGCGCGUGAGUGAUAAAGGUCUUCGGAUCGUAAAACUCGGUUAUGAGGGGAGAACAUAUGUGUAAGUAACUGUGCACAGCUUGACGGUACCUAAUCAGAAAGCCACGGCUAACUACGUG
rnacentral:rRNA from 1 species